UACUCUUCCGGGAGGCACCAUAGUGUACUCCUACGGGAGGCAGCAGUGGGGAAUAUUGGACAAUGGGCGCAAGCCUGAUCCAGCCAUGCCGCGUAAGUGAUGAAGGCCGUAGGGAUGUAAAGCUCUUUCAACGGUGAAGAUAAUGACGGUACCCGUAGAAGAAGCCCCGGCUAACUUCGUGCCAGCAGCCGCGGUAAUACGUAGGGUGCUAGCGUUGUUCGGAAUUACUGGGCGUAAAGCGCGCGUAGGCGGAUUCUUAAGUCAGGGGUGAAAUCCCGGGGCUCAACCCCGGAACUGCCUUUGAUACUGGGUAUCUAGAGUCCGGAAGAGGUGAGUGGAAUUCCUAGUGUAGCGGUGAAAUUCGUAGAUAUUCGGAGGAACACCAGUGGCGAAGCGGCUCUCUGUCCGGUACUGACGCUGAGCGCUAUGCUGCCU
rnacentral:rRNA from 1 species